CUCAUACUCUUCCCAAGUAUGUUUGGGGAACCAAUCCAUGCUCUCAUUAGAACCAACUUUGGCAUUCCUCCUCCUCCCAACUAUCUCAAACAACAGCAUCCCAAAGCUAUAAACAUCACACUUAUGGGUUAUGGGAUGGUUUUUCAGUAAAAAUUCUGGUGCUGAGUAGCCUGGAGUCCCUCUAUAUCCUGAGACUGUCAGGUGGGUGCCGUCCCUGUUACAAAGCUUAGCAAGCCCAAAGUCUGCAACCUUAGGAAAGAAGUUAGCAUCAAGAAGAAUGUUACCGGGUUUUAUGUCAUAGUGAAUGAUUCUUUCUACACAUUCUUCAUGUAAGUAAGCUAUGCCCUUUGCUGUCCCAACUGCUAUAUGAUGCAGCUUCUCCCACUCGACUUCUUGUGCCUCGCUGAACAAGUACUUGUCCAGGGAUCCAUUUUCCAGGUAUUCGUAGACAAGUGCGCUCAUGAACUGAUCAUAGCAGAAACCAUAGAGCCUGACUAGAUUGAUAUGGUAAGUCCUGCCUAUGGUUCCCACCUCUGCCAUGAACUGUUCUUCAGCUUGUCUGUCUGGACUCCUAUUCAGGACCUUCACUGCAAUCUUGACCCCAUUGGGGAACUGCCCCUUGUAAACCAUUCCAAACCCUCCAGAACCCAGUGUUGUGGUGUAGUUAUCAGUGAAGCUGCAUAGCUGCUGAGCAGUGAACCUGACCGGCUUCUCCCUCGCUAAUUCUUGGAAGAACUUCUCCAUUGUUGGUGUAUCAACCUCCCAAACCUGUAUCGUAUUCACAGGUGGGGGAGCCACUGCCGCUUGCAAUUCUGUCACAAUAGCCUUCUUCGCUUUCCUUGCACAAACGAGAGAGAUAACAGCGAUAAUUCCAAGCACCACCAAGCUCAAUAUUACGGCUGCAAGUCAUGGGAGUUUGAACCAGUAAGAUCCCAACUUCAAACUGUUGUCUGUCAAUAUCGAAUUCCUUCGUAUUAUUGUCGCAGAAAGAACUUACCUCCUGCUGUAAUCCCAGAGUUGUUGCUUGGAGGAGAGUAGUCAUAUGAAGACAUCUACAAAGGUAGCAAAAUGGACCAAGUUAGAUAGGACUAUACAAUUCUCUAUUCAGUCAAGUAUAGAUAUAGAUUUUGUUUACAAAUCUCGCUGGCACCUUGGCUAGGUGAGCAAUUAAUUAACCAAAAAUUUCUUCAUUAGUUCAAGGUUUUGUGCAGUGCAGGCGUAUCAUACAUGACCCUUUAACAUACUAAGAACAAUCAAGUUAGUGAACUCACCCUCUUCGGAAGAUCACUCCUUGCUUUUCACCACCAGAAAUUGCAGCACAGCUUCUCUUUGCUCUUUGCUUCCUCCCAUUGCCUUUGUAUAUAUAUAUAUAUAUAUACAUGUAUUUGAGGGAGGAAGUUUUGGGGAAAUUUCUGUCAUAGGCCUUCAACUUGGUAGUCAACAAGGGGAAGGGAAAGAUCUACGGAACCUCUCUCUUUCACUAUCAAAUUCAAAGUGAAGAAGGAAAGAAAUUUCUCAAAAAAUUAUUUUAAUGGUAUGGAUUAUUAUGCCUAUGAGGGGAAGUUUCGGAAAAAUUCCUGCCAUUGACCUUCACGGUUGCAUUCAAAGAAUCAAAAAAUAAGAUAGAUAAAGGCAAGGAGAGAGCUACACCACCUUCGGCAAUGACAUGGAUUGGUAUCACGAAAUUUUUUAGAAAAGUCACUGACAGGCUUAAUUGCAAGGAGAUAUGGGAACUAAAUACAAGAGAAAUAUAAAUUUGUAAAAAAAAUUAUUAAUAUUUUUAAAUAUAAAAAUAUCUUCAUAUAUUAUCAUUUCUUUUAUAUCUUAAAUACAAAAUAAAUUACAUUUUAGUAUGUUUUCAAAAUUUUCAUAUUAUUACUAAGUACAGAAAUUUAUAUUAUACAUGCAUUAUUUUAUUUAAAUUCAAUAAAUAUAUUAUUACUUAUUUUAUUAUUUGCAAAGUUUUUUUAACAUUUAUAUGAGUUUUGAUUAAUUUUCAUAUAUUUUUUGUAACAAUAUUUCCCAUAUAUCCGAAAUAUCUAUAAAAUUUGACUAUUAAUAUAUAUGAGAAAACCAAUUUUUCAUUCUUAUUAUUAGAACGCAUAUGUAUUUUCUAAUUUUAUCUUUUAUUAUUAUUUUAAAUUUUAAAUUAUUAACUCUUUACUUUUAAUUUUUAAUUCUUAAUCUUUAAUUUUUAACGUUUAAAAUUUUAAAUUUCUAUUUUAUCUCAUUUGGGUAUAGUUCCUAUUUUUUAUUUUUAAAAUCAAAGCAAUAAUAACCUAUAUAUAAAAAAAAGUAAAAACUCUUUUACAAAAAAUAUAUAUUUAUGUUAUAUCUUCAAGAAUUUCUUUUAAAAAUAAAAAUAAAAAUUUCAGAUAGUAAACAUUACUUGUUAACGUAAGCUUCUAAAAGUUAUAAUAUAAAAAUUAUUACUAUUUUCUAUUUUUAAAAAUUGAAACAUGAAGCAUUCAAACAUAUACUAAAUUUUUAAUUUUUUAAAUAUUUAAUAAUAAUAAUAAUAAUAAUAAUAAUAUUUAGUAAUAAAUACAUAUAGGUCUAUUGAUAUUUAAUAGGCCGGCCACUAACCACCCAACCUAUUGAAUGCUGAUUGGGAUAUAUAUAUAUAUAUAUAUAGGUCUUUGUUGACCGGGUAUUAGAAGAAGUGAUGAUAUCAAUGCGUUGGCUAAGUUUGGUAGAGGAAAUUUCCUUGUUAAAUGUGGUAUUUGAAAUGCCACUCCCACCUUUCUCUUUCACCGUCAAGUGGAGAAAGAAAGAAAAGAAAGGACUAACAAGAACUUAAUGGUAUUUGGCUAUUUGCAGGGAUUUAGCAUGGUCUUCCCAUGAGCUCUGCUCAUCCUCACUCCACCAAAUUAGUACGCAAACGCAUCAUCAAAACUUAGCUGAACUUAACGAUAUAUAAGCAUAUUGCCCUAAAACAUGAUCAACUUACAUGGUGUAUAGCUAACACAAAGGCAACUACAAUAAUAUUAUACUACAAAUUUUUUAACAAACUCUACUUCAAUUUUCUUCUCAUUUCAUAGUUGAAACUUGAACCUCUCUCCCUUGAGUGCUUCCAUAGUUAAGAACUAGCUACUUGUAUCUCAUACUUGGCCAUGAUUGGUGUGGUUUCCUUGUACCAAAUUGAAUUGGUUUCUUUACUUGUUGCAUAGCUUGAACUUGUACCGGUUUCAUUUGCCUGCUGUAACACGUUUAUACCUACUGAGUAUAGAUAAUGAAACGGUUUUGGUGGUGGCAUGACUUCUACUCCUCCCUCCAGCAUCUUUACCACAGCACUCAUCAGAGGCCUUGAGUCGGGUGAGUCCUGAACACACCAUAGAGCCACCAUAGACAUUCUCUCUGCUUUCUCCCUGUCCUUCUCUUCAAUUCCACAGGCCACAGUCAUUGCUGCUAAAUCCCCUUUCUCAUACUCUUCCCAAACAUGUUUGGGGAACCAAUCCAUGCUCUCAUUAGAACCAAUUUUGGCAUUCCUCCUCCUCCCAACUAUCUCAAACAACAGCAUCCCAAAGCUAUAAACAUCACAUUUAUGGGUUAUAGGAUGGUUUUUCAGUAAAAAUUCUGGGGCCGAAUAGCCUGGAGUCCCUCUAUAUCCUGAGACUGUCAGGUGGGUGUUGUCCCUGUUACAAAGCUUAGCAAGCCCGAAGUCUGCAACCUUAGGAAAGAAGUUAGCAUCAAGGAGAACGUUGCCAGGUUUUAUGUCAUAGUGAAUGAUUCUUUGUACACAUUCUUCAUGUAAGUAAGCUAUGCCCUUUGCUGUUCCAACUGCUAUAUGAUGCAGUUUCUCCCACUCGAUUUCUCGUGCCUCACUGAACAAGUACUUGUCCAGGGAUCCGUUUUCCAGGUAUUCGUAGACAAGUGCACUCAUGAACUGAUCAUGGCAGAACCCAUAGAGCCUGACUAGAUUCAUAUGGUAAGUUCUGCCUAUGGUUCCCACCUCUGCCAUGAACUGUUCUCCAGCUUGUCUGUCUGGACUCCUAUUCAGGACCUUCACUGCAAUCUUGACCCCAUUCAGGAACUGCCCUUUGUAAACCACUCCAAACCCUCCAGAACCUAGUGUUGUCGAGUAGUUAGCAGUGAAACUGCAUAGCUGUUGAGCAGUGAAUCUGACUGGCUUCUCUUUUGCUAUUUCUUGGAAGAACCUCUCCAUUGUUGGUGCAUCAACCUCCCUCGCCUGCAAUUCUUUCACAAUGGGCUUCCUUGCUUUCCUUGCACAAAGGAGAUAGAUAACAGCGAUUUUUCCUACUACCACCAAGCUCGAUACUAUGACUGCAAGUCAUGGGAAUUUGAAUCAAUAAGAUCCCAACUUCAAUCUGUUGUAUAUAUUUCUCACAGAAAGCACUUACCUGCUGCUGCAACCCCAGAGUUGUUGUCUGUCGGAGGAGAGAAGUCUGAAGACAUCUACAAAGGCAGCAAAUUGGACUAAGUUAGAUAGGACUAUACAAUUCGCUAUUCAGUUGAAGUAUUUAUGUCGAUUUUGGGUACAAAUCCCCUGGGCACCUUGGCUAAGUGAGUGGUUAAUUAACCGAAAUUUUCUUCAUUAGUUCAAAGUUUUGUGCAUUGCAGGCUUGUUAAUCAUUCAUGAACCUUCAACAUACUAAGAACAAUCAGGUUAGUGAACUCACCCUCUUUGGAAGAUCACUCCUUGCUUUUCACCACCAAUGCACCACAACUUCUCUUCGCUCUUUGCUUCCCCCCACUGCCUUGACCUGAAAAUUCACCAAAGUUUCUUCACUCCUGAAUCAUAAUUCUGCAAUGGGUGUGAAGGGAAGAAGUUUUUGGGAAAUUUCUGUGACAUCUCUGCCGACUAACUUGGUCAAAAUUCUAUGGUACCCAUGUGGUCGGUACCAAAGUUAGAUUUUUGACCGUUGAAUUUAAAUAUUUUAAUCAUGACCGUUGAUCUAGAUUGUACGAAAAGGGGAAAACUUGCGUGUAAUCAGUUUCUUGUUAAGUGUAUUGUUUAAAAUGAUGAUCUAAUGAUAAUUAAGUAAUGAUAUUUUAUAUUAUUAAAUAUAUAAUUUAUAAUAAAUAAAAAAUAAUAUAUUAUCUAAUUUCUUUUUUAUUUUUAUUUAAAAAUGUAUCUAAUAAUAAUUUUAGUUUUUUUAUCAAUAAUUUGAGUUUAUUUUGAAUUUAAAUUUUACUAUAUUAGAUAACUAAAAAAAAAAAAUCAAUUUCAAUAUAAAUCAAUUAAAAAUGGAUUUUAAUUUAAUGUAAUUCUCAUAAAUAAAUUAAAAUAUAUUUUUCAUUUAAAAUAUUUAUUUUUUAACAUGAAAGUACUAAGGAUAAAAAAAUCAAUUUAAAAAAGAUAAAUUUUACAAUAAAAUUAUUUAAUAACAAGAAUCUUUAUUUUAUAAAAUGGAUAAAUAUGAAAAAAAUGUUAUAAAAUUAUUAAAUGUGAAUGUUAAUAUUUUAUAAAUCAAUUAAAAUAGAUAUUUUAUAAUUUUAAUUUUCUUUUAUUAAGGAUUUAAUUUAAAAUAAAUAUUUUAAUUUAAAAAAAAUUAAAUUUAUUAUAAGGCUCAUUCAAUAAUAUAAAUAGUGUUUUAUAAAAUAAAAUAAAAAAGUUUAAAAUUGAAUAAAAAAUUAUAGAAAUUUAUAAUUCAUUGAUCAUAUUUUGUUAUAAGUUGUUGAUAAGUCUCUAUUGUUAAGUGUAUUUAGUAACUUUUAUAUAGAACUUCUACUUAGAUGAGUUAGUUGGGUUGAUCGUUAAUCUAAGUCCAACCUAACUCAACUUCAUUUUUUUUUUAAGUUUGGAUUAGUCAAAUUAAACCGAUGUUGAUUGAACUUUGACUAUAGACUAUUCAUGAGACUCAAUAUUUAGAUUGUCAUCGUAUUGGUGAAAAAAGAUUUCAUAAUGAAAUGAUUCUCAUUGCUUUCUCUCUAUCAUUGGUAAGUUGUACUCAUGUGUCAGUGUUGUUGGAUUGUGUGACGUAUUUGUCACCAUGGGUUGAUCAAACUUUGACCAUAGCCAAUUCAAAAGCGACACCAUAUAUUUUUAAUGAUGCUUAAUUUGAUAUAGAGUUGUUUGAGAUAUAUAAUGUGUUAUAUUAAAUGCAUCACCUUUGAGUUAUGGUGUCACAUCAUUGUAAAUGAUUAUGAAAGAUAUGGUUGUUUUUUGUUGAUUAGCCUGUUAAUAAAUAAGAUCAACUUGUGCAUAUUUUGUCCAUAAAUAUAAUAAUCAUAUCACAUUUAACUUAUAUUUUUGUAAUGCUUAUGGAUUAACCUGUAAUACAUUACAUCAUCUAGUAAUAUUUGCAUAUCAAAUGUUCACAAAACGAUAGUACAUCAAACCUACCAAAACUAAAAAAGAAAAGUGAAUGCACAUUAAAACAUGAUUUAGAAAUGUUAAGCAUCCCAACAUUCAUGUAUACCUGCAUUUCAUAUGCAUAAAACCGGUUAACCGUAAAAUGACACAAGAGUUGCAUCCAAAAACCCAAAAUUCUCAAUACCAAAUAAAGUAACGUUUAUAUCCUAUAAUGUAUGGCAUCAGAGUCACAUCUAAAAACCAAAAAUCUUGUUGCCUCUUUCUCUUUUCUUUUUAUUCUUCAUACUGUCCUCCCAAAAGUGUAUCCUGCAUUUCAUAGUUUAAUGAGUUUUAAAGCUCUUAUUGAAAAUAAAAAUUAAUUAAUGUUAUAAAAAAUAAAUAAAUAAAUCUAAGGACUGAUGUUUUCUUUUUUCUUUUUCCCAUUUUGAUAUCAAAAUAAUUCGUAAAGAAUAAGUAAUGUCAUACAAUACUAAUGGAAAAUUCAUAUGACAACUAAGGGACUCACCAUGCAUGAUCACGAUACAUCAACAUGAUUCAUAAUUAGUCAUAACAUAAAAAUAGUCAAUUGUCUUCUAAUUUCAUCAAAUUCUACUUAAGAAUAUGUUUUUUUUUAUCAUCAAACUGAAAUCAAAUGAGAAUAACAUUAAUAUCACAAUAAUUGGAAGAUGAAAUUAUGUACAAUUCAUUAAAUGAGUAAAACCUUUAAUACAAUAACUAUAGAAUCAACAAUUAUCUCUUUAAUGAAUCUCAUAACAAAGUAGUCACAUUUGAACUCAAAUAAAAAUAAUUCAAGAAAAUAAAAAAUAAAUCAAAACUACAAAAUCAAAAUAUAAAUCUAAAAUUUUAGAAAAUACUAAUCUUCCACUUAAAAUCUGCACUUUUUAAAUUUAUUUUUUAUAAUUCAUUAUGUUUUUAAAAAUCAUUUUUAACAUUUAAUUCUUUUUAUAUAUAUAUAUUUUUUAUUUCUUGGAAGGAUUUUCUUAAUUUCAAUAUUUUUUAAUGUUCAUUUUGUGAAAUAAUAAUGUUCAUUAAAUUUCAUCUCAAUUAUAUAAAAUAAAAUUUUAGUAACAAAAUAUAAAAAUGUUUUCAACUACUAAUAUGAUAGGACAUGAUAUUAUAACAAGCAUGAAAAUUGUGUAUAUAAGACCAAAAACCUAAUUCAUUAUUAAAAAAUGUUAAGAGAAAAAAUAGUAUGAGAAAGAAUUAAACAAUUUUUCAUAAAAAUUAUUGAUUUUUCGGUUAUAACUCCAAUUGAUAUUUUUUUUUCUAAUUAAAAUAAUUAAUAAAAAAUUUUGGAUAUGAAAAAUAUGUUCAAAUAAAAAUAAUAACAAUUUUAAAAUAUCAAAGGAAAAGAUAUUCAAUAUUUUAAAUUUUUUACUUUUAAUAUUCUUCAGAUCAAUAAAUUAUCAAACAUCUUUUUCAAAAAAAAAAAAAUUGAAGAAAAGGAAGACCUUUGUGAAAGGAAUUGGAAAUUUUUUUGUAAUAAAAUGAUUUUAUAGAAAUUUCAUAACCUUGAAAGGAAAAUUUCAUCAUCAAUUUCAAAUUACUCCAAAAUUUAGUCAAUGCAUAUAAAAACAAUAAGAAAAAAAAGACAAAAAUAAAACAUAUUUUGAGAAUCCUUUUGCGGGAGAUGACAAUAUUGCGAAUAAUUUUUGAGAAAAUUAUUUUCCUAAUAUGACCAACCAAUAUCUUCAUCACAACAUACUAUAAUAUUCUUAGAAAAUAAACAAAUUAAAGGAAUUUUCAUUAAAAAUCAAAAGAAAAUUAUAAAACAUCUUCUUAAAAAAAAAAAGUUUUAUAGAAGGAAUUAAAAAAAUUUAUGUAAUAAAAGGAUUUUAUAGAAAUUUUCUAACCUUGAAAGAGAAAUUCUAAAUUUUGGUCAACGCAUAUAAAAACAAUAAGAAAAUAAAGUAAAAACAAAAAACAAAAAACAAAAAACAUAUUUCAAGAAUAGAAAAAAUAUAAAUAGAACAAGAUGAGAUAUUAACCAUAAUACCAAGUAAAAUAAUAAUAAAAAAAAUCAAAAUAUAAGAUUUGAUCAUUUUUAUAAUUAUAAAAAUUUUCAUUCCUAUUUAAAAUUUAAAAAACAAUUCAUUUACAUGAAUAAAUAAAUAAUUAAACUAAUUUUUCAUUGUUAAUUCCAACAUUCCAAACCAAUGCCAAUAUGAUAUGGAAAUUAUUUCAUUUUUCCUUUUGUGGGAGAUGACAAUAUUAAGAAUAACUUUCUAAAAAAUUAUUUUUCAUGAGUGUGAGAAGAGGUAGAAGAAAAUUAUGGUUAGGGUUAUGGAAUGAGAUUUUUUUUUGGAUCGGGAGUAUGUGGAAACAAUGAGUUUUUUAUAUAUUAUUAUUAUUCUCAAAGUGGGCCCGUUAAAUUAUAGUAUUUUAAAAUUUUUAUUUUAUAUGGUGUCACUUUUCAAAAACUGACACUAUAAACUUAAAAUUAAUAUCAUCUAUCUUAAUUAAAAAAAUUUAUAUGAUGUGUCACCUUUAUGGAUUUUAAGUCAUAUGGUGUCUUUAUUUUAAAAGUGACACCAUAAAUUAUUUUUGUAGUAGUGAUUCUUUACUUAGGAUGUUACGGGUUAAGCUAUCGAAUCAACUCUUAGGGUUAAAGGAGUGUUAACGUUCUAAAGAAUUUUUUUAUGUGAUAAAUGACGAAUUUAGCCUCAUUAUAUAUUUAAACUUCUUAUGAAUUAGGAUUUUUUAGAGAGCGUGAUCAUAAUUAAGAAAUUUUUUUGAGAGUUUUACCAUUAUAAUCUUUCUUUUCUUUUGAUUAGUGGAUUCUUAAAUGUUAAUAUAUUUUAUGGACUUAAGAAUCACAUUGAUCAUCGAACCACAUUAAAAAAUUUAUGUUUUUAUUUAUUUUCUGUUAAUGUGUACAUGAUUUGAUUAAAAAGUGUCACCAUGUUCUUUAGCUUGUCUGUCUAACCUCUUGUUUAGGAACUGUUAGAAGAGUGAUCGACCUCCCCAUCUCAUAAAGAACUUCUUUUGAAUCAUUUUCCAGUUUUAUUAAUCACCUUAUUUUUGUUAAUAGUAAUAUUUGCUUUCUGCAUGAAAUUAUGUUCAUUAUUUUCACUGAAUAUGAAAUUAUUUAAGCUAUGUUAUAUAACCAUUACAUUGAAUUUUGCCCAGAUGUCCAUUGGGCAUCUGGACACCAGUGGAACCAUGGCCACUGCAUGUCAGAACAAGCAAAAGUACGUGGUCUAAUGAUAUUUAAUAGGUCGGCUACUAACCACCCAACUCAUUGAAUGCUGAUUGAGACUCUUAUAUGGAACCAUGCAUGGCCACUGCAUAUUCGGUCAAGCAAAAGAAAGUGGUCUAAUGAUAUUUAAUAGGUCGGCUACUAACCAGCCAACUUAUUGAAUGUUGACUGGGACUCUUAUAUAGGUCUAUGUUGACUGAAUAUUAGAAGAAGUGAUGAUAUAUAAGCAUGUUGCCCUAAAACAUGAUCGACUUAUAGGAUAUAUAGUUUGUUAUGCCAAUGAAAGCUUUGAUGCCAACAAUGUUAGUUCAAGAACACAAAGAUAAAACAAUCACACAUACGGUACACGAGGUUUUAACGUGGUUCAGCCAACUAUGCCUACGUCCACAGAUAAGAGAGAAUAAUUCCACUAUACAAUAGAGAAUAUUACAGAGGACAUAAUCAAAUACAACUAUUGGGUUCCCGAAACAUCACAUAUUUCCCCACUCUUUGUAUCUAUACCCUACUACGAGCCAUCUCGCUCCACAGAGUACCUCCCAUUCUUCCUCACAUCUCUAUCCACCUCGUAUAGUUUUUAUAAGCCCAUUUCCAUCUCAUAACUUUUCCCCCUCAUGACCUAGAAUAUUUAUAGAGAUAUUUCCAACAACCUUCCUUAUUCUAUAAGGAAGUCUAUAUUACAAUAAUAUAUCAACCUAGAAGUAUUCUAUAUAAUAUUCUUUAUAAAAAAAGAAUCUAUACUAAUUAGGAAUUUGGGACACGUCCUAACAAUCUCCACCUUGGACCAAAUUCCAUGAAGUUAAUCUCCAAUCUCUCCAUGACACAAAUCUUUUUGUAUCGUAUCACCACGAAAGAGCAAUCGACUCCACCUUCAGUGAAAAUUCCUUUUGUUUUCAUCUUGUGUGCUUUGUGAUCUUUUACUCUUCCAGAAAUCUCAACCCAAGCUCUGAUACCAGUUGAAGGGAAUUAAGUCGAAUUCUCAACCUGUUUUCCCACAGUUCCAGCAUUAUACUUGUUGGCCUGAUUUAGAUUUGCUUCUGUUCUGAUUAGAAUUUCUGGAUUUUGAUCUACCCCAGUUUGAAUUUCUGUCAUUACCUCUGCUUCUUGUCUCAAGGUUUAGGGCAGAACCAAAUCCUGAGGUUUCGCCUGCAUCUCUUCGGCGAAUCUCCUCAGCCAGAAUUAAAUCUCGUAUAUCAUUGUACUUGAGCUUUUCCUUUCCCAUAGAAUUGCUUACUGUCAUCCUCAUUGUCUCCCAACUAUUUGGCAAAGAAGCUAAGACGAUCAGAGCACGAAUCUCAUCAUCAAAAUCAAUUUCUACAUACGACAAUUGAUUUGUAAUUGUAUUAAAUUCAUUCAGAUGUUGUGCUAUUGAUGCAUUUUCUGUCAUCUUCAAAUUGAACAAUUUCUUCAUCAGAUGCACCUUAUUGUUUUCGGACGGCUUUUCAUACAUACCGGACAAAGCCUUCAUCAGAUCUGUUGUGGUCUUCUCUUUUACAACAUUGUGUGCAACAGACCUAGACAAAGUUAACCUAAUAACUCCUAGAACCUAUAUGUCAAGAAGCACCCAUUCCUUAACCUUCAUACUCUCAGGUUUUGUCCCCAAAAGAGGCAGAUGCAAUUUCUUCUCAUAGAGAUAAUCUUCAAUCUGCAUCCUCUAAUACGCAAAGUCUGUGCCAUCAAACUUUUCUAUUCUAGAUGUCUUUCCUGCUUCCUCUGCCAUUGCUCCCACUCAAACCUAAUCCUAGGCUCUGAUACCAGUUGAAGGGAAUUAAGCCGAAUUCCCAACCUGUGAGAAACAAAAAAAAAUAGAGAAAACACACGCCAAAGAAAAACAAUCAACGCACAAGAAAGUCUACGUCCAUGAAGUUGCAGGGAUAUCACUAUUAUCAGGGAAAAAUCCAGAGUACAACAAUUGCGGCUACAAUAUUUUCUCUCUAUAUAUAACACAACAACUACACCACACUAAAAAACCCUAAUUACAAAAGAUGGUUCCACAAUGGGCUAAGCGGGCCCAAAAGCCCAAGCCUUCGCUCCAUGGACUAAGACUCAGUAAAUCUCCCAUUAAAAAACCACGUAAUAUUAUUCGAGUCGGGUCGCCAAACCGGAUCAAACAAAACUAGGCUCCACAAAGCCUGACAUAAACACACAAAGGCAACUACAAUAAUAUUAUACAACAAAUUUUUAACAAAAUCUACUUCAAUUUGAACCUCUCUCCCUUGAGUGUUUCCAUGGUUAAGAACUAGCUACUUGUAUCUCAUACUUGGCCAUGAUUGGUGUGGUUUCCUUGUACCAAAUUGAAUUGGGUUCUUCACUUGUUGCAUAGCUUGAACUUGUACCGGUUUCAUUUGCCUGCUAGAACAUGUUCAUCCCUAUUGAGUACAGAUAAUGAAAUGGUUUUGGCGGGGGCAUGACUUCUACUCCUUCCUCCAACAUCUUUACCAUAGUACUCAUCGGAGGCCUCGAGUCGGGUGAGUCCUGGACACACUAUAGAGCCACCAUAGACAUUCUCUCUGUUUUCUCCCUGUUCUUCUCUUCAAUUCCACAGGCCACAGUCAUUGCUGCUAAAUUCCCUUUCUCAUACUCUUCCCAAACAUGUUUGAAGAACCAAUCCAUGCUAUCAUUAGAACCGACUUUGGCAUUCCUUCUUCUCCCAACUAUCUCAAACAACAACAUCCCAAAGCUAAAAACAUCACAUUUAUUGGUUAUGGGAAGGUUUUUCAGUAAAAAUUCUGGUGCUGAGUAGCCUGGAGUCCCUCUAUAUCCCGAGACUGUCAGGUGAGUGUUGUCCCUGUUACAAAGCUUAGCAAGCCCAAAGUCUGCAACCUUAGGAAAGAAGUUAGCAUCAAGGAGAACGUUACCGGGUUUUAUGUCAUAGUGAGUGAUUCUUUGUACACAUUCUUCAUAUAAGUAAGCUAUGCCCUUUGUUGUCCUAACUGUUAUAUGAUGCAGCUUCUCCCACUCGAUUUCUCUUGCCUCGCUGAAUAAGUACUUGUCUAGGGAUUCGUUUUCCAGGUAUUUGUAGACAAGUGCGCUCAUGAACUGAUCAUAGCAGAAACCAUAGAGCCUGACUAGAUUGAUAUGGUAAGUUCUGCCUAUGGUUCCCACCUCUGCCAUGAACUGUUCUUCAGUUUGUCUGUCCGAAUUCCUAUUCAGGAC
rnacentral:lncRNA from 1 species